CCUACGGGUGGCAGCAGUGGGGGAUAUUGCACAAUGGGGGAAACCCUGAUGCAGCGACGCCGCGUGAGUGAAGAAGUAUUUCGGUAUGUACAGCUCUAUCAGCAGGGAAGAAAAGGACAGUACCUGACCAAGAAGCCCCGGCUAACUACGUGCCAGCAGCCGAGGUAAUACGUCAGGGGCAACGGUUAUCCGGAGUUACUGGGUGUAAAGGGAGUGUAUACGGUUAGGUGAGUCUGGAGUGAAAGGCCGGGGCCGAAAACCGAGACUGCUUUGGAAACUGUGUAACUGGAGUACAGGAGGGGCAGGCGGAAUUCCUGGUGUAGCGGUGAAAUGCGUAGAUAUCAGGAGGAACACCGGCGGCGAAGGCGGCCUGCUGGACUGAAACUGACGUUGAGGCACGAAAGCGUGGGGAGCAAACAGGAUUAGAUACCCGGGUAGUC
rnacentral:rRNA from 1 species